ensembl:lncRNA
AUCCCAAUUGUCUGGAACAUACGCUUAGUCUGAGCUUGGUCCGCAGGGCUGACCAAUGUGAUCGACUUAGUUGCUUAGUCAAGACCGAUUCUCUGCAACCCCAUGGACUGUAGGCCACCAGCCUCCUCUGCAUCAAAUUCUCCAGGCAAGAAUACUAGAGUGGGUAGCCAUGCCCUCCUCCAGAAGACCUUCCUGACCCAUGUCUCCUGUACUGCAGGCAGAUUCUUUACCAUCUGAACCACCAGGGAAGCCCUUCACACUAACCAGGGAGGUGAACACAGCCCUUUCUCUGCUAGAUCUCCAGCCCAGAGAUCUCCAUCCUCUUCCACAGACUGCAUUUGACACCUCACCCUUGUAGCAAAUGAGAGAGACCCAGAAUCAGAAAAUGCAGAGAAGCUUCAUAAAAGGCAAACAGAAUGGAACCUCCCCAAACUCCUGCCAUCAUCUAGGAGUUAACAGUCCCUUGACCACAGGGCACCACUUUCCGUGUGUCCUGCUUUCUUCCUCAUAUCAGAGUAAGAUAAUGUCUAUGAAAGUGCCAUCACUUUAUGGCAAACAGAAGUGGGAAAUGUGGAAGCACUGACAGAUUUUAUUUUCUUGUCCUCCAAAAUCAUGGUGGACAGUGACUGUAGCCAUGAAAUUAAAAGACGCUUGCUCCUUAGAAGGAAAGCUAUGACAAACCUAGACAGCAUAUUAAAAAGCAGAGAUAUCACUUUGCUGACAAAGAUCCAUGUAGUCAAAGCUGUGGUUUUUCCAGUAGUCAUGUACAGAUGUGAGAGUUAGACCAUAAAGAAGGCUGCGCGCCAAAGAAUUGAUGCUUUUGAACUGUGGUGUUGGAGAAGACUCUUGAGAGUCCCUUGGACUGUAAGGAGAUCAAACCAGUCAAUCCUAAGGGAAAUCAAUCUUGAAUGUUCACUGGAAGGAUUGAUGCUGAAGCUGAAGCUCCAAUAAUUUGGCCACCUGAUGCAAAGAGUCAACUCAUUGGAAAAAGACCCUGAUAGUGGCAAAGAUUGAAGGCAAAGGGAAAAGGGGGCGGCAGAGGAUGAGAUGGUUAGAUAGCAUCACUGACUCA